ACGAUAUAUAGGCUGCCGAGGCGGCUUAGUGCAUGUGCUCUGGCAACGAUCACACCAUUGCGCUCCGGAACCAACACGAAUAUAAACAUGUUUUUUAUCAAGUUUUUGAAGCUAAAUUAAACGAUAUGUAUAUGAUUACAAUGCGCGCAUUUAUAUGUAUUACGGCUGAAAAGUGUAGAGGUAGGCCUAUAUCAUAUAAUCAUAUUCUGUCAAAAUAACAGCGGCUAGCGCGCUUUGUCGGCAAAUAGCCCGACAUCGCACAAAUCAUUUCGGUUUUCAAUCGGGAAAUCAUUUCGGUUUUCAAUCGGGAAAUCAUCCCAAAUCGUAGCAAUUUAUGGAAUAUUUCCUAAAGCCACAUAUACACAUGAAAUGUUCAGUGUCUAUCUUUAAGGGCCACGAACCGGCAUAUACUCAGUAGGAGAUAAAAUGGCAAAAUUUGAGGCUCGA